rnacentral:lncRNA from 1 species
GGGGCUUCAGCACGGGGCAGGACUGGGCUAUGGCCGGGGGCCCUGACUCCCCGACCCUCGCGGCUCCCGUGGUCCCGGGGCUUCGGGUCGAGCGUAGUGCCUCUCAUUGCUAGCUAUCCCCUCACGCCUUGGAUGCCGCCUGCGAAGCCCGGUCCCACAGGCCUUCACUAACAGGCAGGAGGGCGGCGAGGUGGCAAGCCCGGGGCCAGGUGGGAACGACGAGACUGCCCGGUGUUGCCCCGCGUCACGCUGUCUCGAGAUUCGGCCCCGCCUGUGGGCUGUAGGACAGACGACGUAGGUAGAAGUCCUGAGAGGAUCUCGAAAGUUCUGAUUUAGGACCCGCAAAGGCCUUGAACUUGCUGAGGAGUAACAUACUGUGGAAAGAAUAUCAAAAACAAAUUGGCGCUUAAAGUUCUUAGAGCGAUGUUUUCUACCUGAGGGCCAGGCCCCAGGUAAAACAGGAAAUGAGAAUUUUAAGAGAUGACCAGUGAAGAUUGGAAUUGAAAUUGCCCUGUCCCUCUGUGGCUGAAAUCAGAGACCCUACCCAACCCUGCCCACUUUCUGCUACUUCAGGGCGGGAGGCACCUCUGUGUGAGACGGAUGAAAACUCCAGCUAUGGGGCGACAGGCCAUUUCACCUAUUUCUGACUGCAACAUCCAACCCAUUCUCCAAAGCCCAGUUCAAAAGGCACCCCCUCCAUGAUGUCCUUCUACUCUCAUCUGCCUCUAGAUCCCCAAGCUUACCUUUGUAGGGCUUCUAUAAAGGAUUUGCUACAUUUUUUCUUGUGCCACAGUGUGUCAGUUGGUUUUCUGUCACUGUUUUGGCUCAAGUGAGAAAGGAGAGAUGAGAAAGAGAGAGACGGGACAAAAUAUACUUCAAGGCCAUGCCCCUAGUGAUCUACUUCCUCCAACUAUGCUCCAUGUCCAAAAUUUUCAUUGCCUCCCCAUAGAAAAUUAAGCUAUGAAUGCACAGUGGAUUUAUCCAUCGAAGAGGCUAGAUCCUUCAUGAUCCAAAGGUGCCACCACUGAGACACUGCUGCACUGGGAACUAAGCCUUUAACACAGGUUUGGGGGGGAUGUUUCAGAUACAAAUUGUGACCUACAGUAAUUUGAAUAUGGAACUUAUUUUCUUUGUUGCUGGGGGUUAGGUGGGUAAGGAUUGGACUGUGUUAGUAUUUGGAUCUCUCCACUUCCUGAUGGAGCACCUUAUACAUUGUAAGCCACAAUGAAUGAUGGGCAUCUGAGGGAGCCUUUUAUGAUGAAAAGUUUGCAAAGUGAAGAUUUCCUUAUCAACUUUAUGUGCUGACUUUAACAAGAUUUAAUUGUAAGAUAAAUAUCUUGGUUUAAUCUGGGAUGGCAGCAGUGCACCCAGAAGGGAGAAAUUCUUGUGUUUUUCUUGAGAGCUUCAAAUUUAAGGAAAUGAAGAGAUACCAAUAAGGACUGGCUGUGGAGAACAGACUGCUUAGAUAGAAGGCCCUCAGGGCUUGCAUAUCUUUCUCUCCAGUGGGGCCUGUGAUAGUUAACUGUUGUGUCAACUUGAGGAAGAAACACCCAGCUGAUUGGAUUAGCAUGGUUCUGGUUGUGGCUGAAUGGAUUUCCUGAAGAUAGAAAACCCAUGCUGGGUGUGAGUGUCACCAGUCAAUGGGCUUAUAGCCUAAAUGGAAAAGGGGAAAAAAGAAGUAUCAGUUUUGUCUUUGGAGGAGCUCCAGUCUUUGCCUUUGCCACGGACAUCUGUCUCUUGGUUUCCAGUGCCGGUCUCAGUCUUCCAGCAUGGACCCUUCAGCCUCCUGAUACCGACUCACACGGGAAUCUACAGUAAGCUCCAGGCCUUCAACCUUUGAUGGAUCCUUCUGGUCCAGUGUGCCAACAAUUUUCACUCUUCCACACCUGACUCGGCAGGCGGCCAUCGUAAAUCUACGUUGUAGAUCCUUACAUAUUAGUAUAUAUUCUAUUAAAUCUGUUUCUAUAUUGAGCACUGACUGAAACAGAUUUUGGUACCAAGAAUGGCUCUAGAGAAACAGAAUUGUAAAGAUGAAAUUCUUUGAUGGCUUUAGUGAUUCCUGGAGUUGGCUCUCUAAUUUGAUAAGGUCUAGAGAUGCCAUGGUCUCUUCUGAUAAUGUAUAGCGUUCUGAUAGUCUGCAGCAUGAAUUGUUUAAAAUAAUACACAAUGUGGAUCCAUUUGAUUUUCUUAAUUAACCACUGGUGAGAUGCAAGGAAUUUAGUGACUCCAUAUGAUACUUUUGAAUAUUUUUGUCAGAGUGGGAAAUACAGUGAUGCUGGCUGGUUUCUCUUAGCAUCUCUGGACAAACUAGUAAAAGAAAAAUAAGGAGCAGGCUUGAAAAAUCUCAAGUCUUCUGAGUGUGAAGACAAAUUAAUAAAGGAAAAUAAGGAGCUCAAAGAUUCAAAUUUCCAACUCCAGACACACAUAAAAAAUCUUAAGUUUCUAAGUGUGUCCUAAAAGAGAAUCUUUUCUUUUGCUGUAUGGCCAAGAUUGCAGAAACCCAAACACAAGCCCUCAUAAUUUGAUUGGCUGAAAUACAGUGUAAGUUUAAAGCUCAGCCUUGAAAGAUAUCUGAAGUAAAGCUGAGGGCUCUGAUUAGGAAAGAAUGGGAUCCCAUAAAUUGGGAUGGAGAUGUUUGGGAGAAUCCUGAUGAGGCUGGGGACAUUGAGCUCCUAGACUCUAAUGAGAUUAUUUUGUUAGAGAAAGAGAUUUCCAUAUCCACAGUGGUGGGAACAUCUCCACCUCUACCCCAUGUGAUGUUGGCUUCUCCUCCUAUAUCUAUGGAAACUAAUCUUGUGUUAACCAAGUAUGAUAAUUUGGACAAUCCUGAAGACCCAACCUUACCACCCACUUUUGCCACUAGGUCUAUAACCAGGCUCAGAUCACAGAAGGCUCCUUAAGGUGAGGUAUGUAGUGUGACCCAUGAGGAGGUCCACUAUUCUUCUAAAGAACUUAUUGAAUUUUCUUUCUUUUUUUUGGUACCAGGGAUCAAACUCGGGACCUUGCACUUGCAAGGCAGGUGGUGGAACCACUGAGCUAAAUCCCUAGCCCAUUGAAUUUUCUAACUGUUAUAAGGAGAGGUCUGAUGAACAAGAGUGGGAAUGAAUCUUAAGGCAUGUGGGCUAAUGGUGGCAAAAACAUACACCUGGAUUGGGCUGAGUUUGUUGAUAUGGUCCCAUUAAGUACAGAUUCUGAAUUUUUUUUUUUUUGGUACCGGGGAUUAAACUCAGGUCCUUAGCUUUGCGAGGCAGGUGGUGGAACCACUGAGCUAAAUCCCUGGCCCCAGAUUCUGAAUUUAAUGUUGUAGCUCACGGAGUUAAAAAAAGUGUUAAAAAAAAAAAAAAAGGUGUUAGAGGGCCAGGGAUUUAGCUCAGUGGUGCUGCUGCCUGCCUCAUAAGCGCAAGGUCCCAAGUUCAAUCCCCAGUAACAAAAAAAAAAAAAAAAAAAAAAGGUGUUAGUAGUUUAUUUGGCUGAUUGGCAGAAGUAUGGAUCAAAAGAUGUCCUACUGUAAAUAAGUUAGAGUCUCCUGAUAUUCCUUGGUUUACUGUUAAUGAGGGGACUCAAAAGCUCAGGGAAAUGAGAAUGCUGGAGUGAAUUUGUCACAUUAAACCUAAUCCCCCACUGUGGGAUGAUCCGGAAAAUGUACCCUUCAUUAACACUUUGGGAAACAGAUUCAUGAGGGGAGCACCAGCAUCCUUGUAGAGCCCUGACAUUGUCUUUCUCUGUAUACCAGACCUUAUGGUGAGGACCGCAAUUACUCAGUUGGGAAACUUAAGGGCAGUGGGUUUAAUUGGCUCGAGGAAUGGCAUGGGUCAAAUAACAGCACUUAGUCGACAAUGACCAGAUGCAUGUACUUACUUACCAUAAUGGACAUCAGAAGCAGAGCAAUGAUUGGCAUGGUCUGUUAUGUGUAGACCUCUGGCAUUGGCUGAUUAGCCACAUUGUUCCCCAAAGUGAAAUAGACAGGUAGCCUACUAAAUUUAUACCAGGUUUAUAUAACUGAAAAAAAUUUAGGGGCAAAGGAACAGAAACCUACCUCAAAUUGUAGUAACAGAGAGUCAUGGUUCUUCAGCUAGUUCCCAGAUUUGAGCAGUUUACAGACCCAGAACCCCUUGAAUGAAGGGGUAGCCAGGUCCUUUGAGAAAGGACCCUGGUACAUCACCAAAAAUUUAUUCUGUCAGUCUUUCUCUCAUCCUUCCCCACAGGGAUCUAAGGCCUUUUAUGAGGGUAACUCUUCAUUGGAGGAAGGGAAUUAAUCAGACAUUUUAGGGACUACAGGACACUGGUUUUGAACUAAUGCUGAUUCCAAGGGAUCCAAAACAUCACUGUAGCCCUCCAGUAAGAGUAGGGGCCUAUUGAGGUCAGGUGAUCAAUGGGGUUUUAGCAAAGGUCUGACUCACAGUGGGUCCAUGUUAUGGUUUGUAUCUCAGUAUCCCCUCAAAGCCUCAUUGGGUCAUAGGUGGGGCUUUUUCAGAGAUGGCUGAAUCUAGAAUGUGGGAUGCUGGGAUUAAUGGUGUGUGAGUACUUAAUCAGUUCACUGAUUGGUUUAGCACCGCCCUAAUCCAAGUAACCUAGACAGAGUAUAAAAGGGGCAGAAAGAAACUGCUAAGGUCCCUUGCUUGCUUUGCAACCUUCUGCCCGCCAUGAACUGUUUCUCCUCUGUGAUGCUUGUCUGCCAUGCCACCCUGCCUUGGAACCAGCCGUGUAUGGACUGAAACCUCUACAAACUGUGAGCUAAAUAAACCUUUCCUCCUUUAACUUUGGGUGUUGGGUAUUUUGUCUCAGUAACAAGAAAGGUAACUAUGCCCGAAUUUGAUACCAGAGAAGUGGGGUCAUUGCUAUGACUCUACCUGACCAUGUGGUUUAGGAAACUUUGGAACUGGUUUGUGGGAAGGGGAAGAGUUAGGAAAUCUUUGGAGAUGUUGGCUGAAAAAGUAGAAUUGGAAUGCCUUAGGCUGUACUUGAUAGGAGAUUCUGGUUAGAGCUCAGAAGACCAGAAGACUGAUUGAAAUGCUGCUGGUAAAGAUAAGCUAAGGAGGUUUCUGCUGGGAAGGACUGCAUUGGCUGUUGGACUCCAGAUGAUGUUUGUUAUGGUUUGAUAGAAAAUUUAUCUGCAUUUUGCUUAUGUCCAGAGACUUUGGCUAAGACUGAGAUUAAGGGAGGUGGACUAAUUAAUCUUGAAGUGGAAAUUUCAAAGCAGUCUAGUGUUGAGGUGGUGGCAUGACUACUGUUGGGGAUGUUUAGUUGGAUUUAUGUUGAGAAUCAAGAGCAAAGAGCCCAGCAAAAUGAUUCAAAACAUUGUAAGUUUGGCCAGAAAGGAAGCUCCAGUAAAAUCGUGGCCUGCAAAGAUGGAACAGAGGAGAAAUUAGUUGCUGAAAAGAUUAGCAAGAAAAACUAACCUACUUCAGAAGAAGACAACAGAAAAAUUGCCUAAGGACAGUACAAGAACCAACAGGACUCCAGCCUUUGCAGCCUCAGACUUGCAAAAGUAAAAAACUUUGCUUUGAGAAGAAAGCCACAGAGCACCAUGUUCCAACACCAUGUUCCCUAGGCUGCCUAGGGAAGUUGUUGCUUGGGAUUUGAUUCAUAGGAAUUCAGUCGCUACAGCCAAGAGAGAAGGAAGCUUGGCUAUUGCUCUAGCUGGUGGCACACCUUGGCGUCAUCCAUGUGGUGCUGGUUUUAGGUGCAUGCAGAAUGCAAGAGCUGUGGGGUCAGGAAGGCUUCCACCCAGAUUUCAGAAAAAGGCCUGGGAGGCCAGGCAGUGUGCCCCAAGGCAGUGUGUGAAGCUGUGAGUGUGAAGCCAAAAGUGCAGUGGAGAGUCCAGAAGUUUGGAGAAGCCAGAAACAUGGGUUCUCUGAGAAAAACUGCAAGGAGGGAGAAGAACAGCCCAAAGAUAGAAGCCAUGGGAGCUACCACCACUGGAAGUGCCAUAGAGGGCCAGAGCUACCCAAUCCCUUUGGAGUUCACAUCUUGACACAGAUUGCCUUGAAUGCUGCACAUAGAACUACAGGCCUUAAUGUUUGCCCUGCUGGAUUUUGGACUUGCUUUGGUCCCAUUCCUUUGUAUCCUCUUAUUUGUACCUUUUGGAUUGGUAAUGUUUACUUUGUGCUAUUAUAUGUUGGAAAUAUUUAACUUUCUUUUAAUUUGUACAGGGGCUUACAGCUAAGAGUUUGCUUUAAAUCUCAGAGGAGACUUGGGACUUGGACUUUUCAGCAAUGCUGAAACUGUUAGAAUUUUGUUAACUCUUAGAGAUGGACUAAAUGGCUUUUGCAUAAAGGAAUGUACAUAAGUCUUUGGGGGGACAGGGGUAGAAUGUUAUGGUUUGUGUCUUGUUGCCCCCUAAAGCCUCAUGUGGUCAUAGGUGGGGCUUUUUCAGAGGUGGCUGAAUCUAGAGUGUGUGAUUAUUAAAUCAAACCACUGAUUGGUUUGGCACUGCCCUAAUCCAGGUAUCCUAGAUAGAGUAUAAAUGGGCAGAAAGAAACUGCUAAGGUCUCUUGCUUGCUUGCUACCUUCUUCCCACCAUGAACUGUUUCUCCUCUGUGAUGCUUGUCUGCCAUGCUACCCUGCCUUGGAACCAACUGAUUAUGGACUGAAACCUCUACAAACUGUGAGCUAAAUAAACC